GGUAAUUCCAUAUAGAAACUCCUUUGUUAAAUACAGUGUAUUUGCGAUAGUUUGUUCUCUUAUAGCUCACAUGUAACUUGGUAGAAUUUCGAGUAUUAUAGUUGUAUAGUUCGUUAUUUUGUUUGAAGUAAUCAUUAUAAAAGUCCGGGAAAUUUUGACAAUAAUUGAAGCGAUACAUGAAUAAGCUGCAUAGAUAAUCAUUAAUUUUGUAGAUAUCCAAGAUUUUCAAUUGUAAAAAUAUUGGUUCAGAAUGAUCCAUAUAAGAUUUAAAACAGAUUACUCGUACAAUUUUCUUUUGCACAUUUAGUAACUUUUGUAACCUUGUUGGGUAUGUACUUCGCCAAACUAGAUUUCCGUACGUGAGGUAUGGAUAGACCAAUGC